rnacentral:rRNA from 1 species
GACGAACGCUGGCGGCGUGCCUAAUACAUGCAAGUAGAACGCAGUUGCGCACGGGUGAGUAACGCGUAGGUAAAUGCCUCAUAGCGGGGGAUAAAUAUCGGAAACGAUAGCUAAUACCGCAUACUGUGAGACGGAUCGGCGUUGUAUUAGCUAGUUGGUGAGGUAAAGGGUCACCAGGGCGACGAUACAUUGCCGACCUGAGAGGGGGAACGGCCCAACGGGGAACUGGACAAGGGCCAAACUCCUACCGGAGGCAGGAGUAGGGAAACUUCGGCAAUGGACGGAAGUCUGACCGAGCAACGCCGCGUGAGAGGAGAAGGUUUUCGGAUCUGAAAGCUACUUUGUUAGAGAAGCGGUAACUAACCAGAAAGGGACGGCUAACUCCGUGCCAGCAGCCGCGGUAAUAC